rnacentral:rRNA from 1 species
GACGAACGCUGGCGGCGUGCUUAACACAUGCAAGUCGAGCGGGGUCCAUCCGGUGGCAACACCGGUGAAGACCUAGCGGCGAACGGGUGAGUAACACGUGAGCAACCUGCCCCGAAGUCUGGGAUAACACCGGGAAACCGGUGCUAAUACUGGAUACCCCCACUCUGGUCGGCAUGGCCGGGACGUGAGGAAAGGAAUUUAUUCGCGUUUGGGUAGGGGGCGUCGCGGGCGUA